rnacentral:rRNA from 1 species
GACGAACGCUGGCGGCGUGCUUAACACAUGCAAGUCGAACGGAGUGGCGAACGGGUGAGUAUUACGUGAGUAACCUGCCCUCAACUGUGGGAUAAGCCUGGGAAACUGGGUCUAAUACUGCAUAGUUGGGGAUGGGCACGCGGCCUAUCAGCUUGUUGGUGGGGUGAUGGCCUACCAAGGCGGUGCCGUGUCGCCGGCCUGGGAGGGUGGUCGGCGACAUGGGGAAUGAGAUGCGGCCCAGACUCCUACGGGUGGCAGCAGUGGGGGAUUUGGCACAAUGGGCGCAAGCCUGAUGCAGCGACGCCGCGGGAGGGAUGAAGGCUUUCGGGUCGUUAACCUGGUUCGGUACAGAACGGGUAUGUGCAGAAGAAGCGCCGGCUAACUACGUGCCAGCAGCCGCGGUAAUAC